UACAGAGGGGGCAAGCGUUGUUCGGAAUUACUGGGCGUAAAGGGCGCGUAGGCGCCUUCUAAGUCGAACGUGAAAUCCCCGGGCUCAACCCGGGAACUGCGUCCGAUACUGGAAGGCUUGAAUCCGGGAGAGGGAUGUGGAAUUCCAGGUGUAGCGGUGAAAUGCGUAGAUAUCUGGAGGAACACCGGUGGCGAAGGCGGGUCUGCUGGGCCGAUACUGACGCUGAGACGCGAAAGCGUGGGGAGCGAACAGG
rnacentral:rRNA from 1 species